GCCUGGGGCAGAGGUGCGUGCCUGCAGUCCCAGCUACUCGGGAGGCUGAGGCGGGAGGAUUGCUUGAGCCCAGUUCUGCGCUGUGCCGAUCAGGUGUCUGCACUAAAUUCAGCAUCAAUAUGGUGACCUCCCAGGAGCGGGAGACCACCAGGUUGCCUAAGGAGGGGUGAACCGGCCCAGGUCGGAAACAGAGCAGGUCAAAACUCCUGUGCUGAUCAGUAGUGGGAUCGCGCCUGUGAAUAGUCACUGCACUCCAGCCUGGGCAACAUAGCGAGACCCCGUCUCUA
rnacentral:SRP_RNA from 1 species